GACAGAGGUGCCAAGCGUUGUUCGGAUUCAUUGGGCGUAAAGGGUGUGUAGGUGGCGCGCUAAGUCGGGUGUGAAAUUUCGGAGCUUAACUCCGAAACUGCAUUCGAUACUGGCGUGCUUGAGGACUGGAGAGGAGACUGGAAUUCAUGGUGUAGCAGUGAAAUGCGUAGAGAUCAUGAGGAAGACCAGUGGCGAAGGCGGGUCUCUGGACAGUUCCUGACACUGAGACACGAAGGCCAGGGGAGCAAACGGG
rnacentral:rRNA from 1 species